UACGUAGGAGGCGAGCGUUGUCCGGAAUUACUGGGCGUAAAGAACGCGUAGGCGGCACUGUACGACCGAUGUGAAAGCCCCCGGCUCAACUGGGGAGGGUCAUUGGUUACGGCAGAGCUUCGAGUGCAGGAGAGGGAAGUGGAACUCCGGGAGUAGCGGUGAAAUGCGUAGAUACCCGGAGGAACACCAGUGGCGAAGGCGGCUUCCUGGUCUGUUACUGACGCUGUGGCGCGAAAGCUAGGGGA
rnacentral:rRNA from 1 species